GUGGAGAGGAGAGAGGAACGAGUUUGAAGAGCUUUCUCCUGCUGCCACCUUGCGCAAAGGAUAAUUACAGCUCCUACACUCAGGAAAUACCUCUAGCAAGCUAGCAUUUGCUACCGUGGUGAAAGGCAUGGAUGUAAGGAGCAGAUCCGAGGGAAGCAUACUGCCUGCCUGAUGGAUGGAAGGUGACGCUUCCAACUAACAAACCAACGCUUCCACAGGGAAACGCAACUACAAAGUCUGCAUAAAGAGAUGACAUCUACAUUUCCAUGAUUACCAUAAGAAAUUAAAAGAGAUAACUACGGGCUACAGGAAAUACAUAAAUAAGGUAUGUGACCUGGAAACCUGGGAUGUCCUGGGGAAAGGAGGGAAGGGAACCCAGCUUUUGGUAACUGAGCACCACCAGU